rnacentral:rRNA from 1 species
AUAAACGCUGGGCGGCGUGCCUGACACUGUAGUCGUACGAGUCUCCGGGCUUGCUCGGAGGCUAGUGGCGGACGGCUGAGUAACGCGUAGGUGACCUGCCCCGAAGUGGGGAAAUACUGCCCGAAAGGGUGGCUAAUACCGCAUGUGGUCGUACGUUCGUUCGUGCGACUAAGGCCGACCGGGGCUUCGGGAGGGGCCUGCGUCCGAUUAGCUCGUUGGUGGGGUAACGGCUCCCCCAGGGGACCAUCGGUAGGUGGUCUGAAAAGACCAACACCCCAACUGGGACUGAAACCCCGCCCAAACUCCUACCGGAGGCAACAGUCGGGAAUUUUGCACAAUGGGCGAAAGCCUGAUGCAGCAACGCCGCGUGAGGGGUGAAGGCCUUCGGGUUGUAAACCUCUUUUCUCAAGGACGAUAAUGACGGUACCUGAUGAAUAAGCCACGGCUAACUACCUGCCAGCAGCCGCGGUAAUACGUACGUGGCAAGCGUUGUCCGGAUUUACUGGGCGUAAACAUCGCGCAGGCUGUCUGUCAAGUCGAAUGUGAAAGCCCCGGCUCAACUGGGGAGGGUCAUUCGAUA